rnacentral:rRNA from 1 species
UACGUAGGUGACAAGCGUUAUCCGGAUUUAUUGGGCGUAAAGCGCACGCAGGCGGUCUAUCAAGUCUGACGUGAAAUCUCUCGGCUUAACCGGGAGCGGUCGUUGGAAACUGAUGGACUUGAGGCGAUGAGAGGAGAGUGGAAUUCCUGGUGUAGCGGUGAAAUGCGUAGAGAUCAGGAGGAACACCCGUGGCGAAGGCGGCUCUCUGGUCGACAUCUGACGCUGAGACGCGAAAGCGUGGGGAGCGAACGGG